rnacentral:rRNA from 1 species
UCAGGACGAACGCUGGCGGCGUGCUUAACACAUGCAAGUCGAACGAUGAAGCCCUUCGGGGUGGAUUAGUGGCGAACGGGUGAGUAACACGUGGGCAAUCUGCCCUUCACUCUGGGACAAGCCCUGGAAACGGGGUCUAAUACCGGAUACCACUCCUGCCCGCAUGGGUGGGGGUUGAAAGCUCCGGCGGUGAAGGAUGAGCCCGCGGCCUAUCAGCUUGUUGGUGGGGUAAUGGCCCACCAAGGCGACGACGGGUAGCCGGCCUGAGAGGGCGACCGGCCACACUGGGACUGAGACACGGCCCAGACUCCUACGGGAGGCAGCAGUGGGGAAUAUUGCACAAUGGGCGAAAGCCUGAUGCAGCGACGCCGCGUGAGGGAUGACGGCCUUCGGGUUGUAAACCUCUUUCAGCAGGGAAGAAGCGAAAGUGACGGUACCUGCAGAAGAAGCGCCGGCUAACUACGUGCCAGCAGCCGCGGUAAUACGUAGGGCGCAAGCGUUGUCCGGAAUUAUUGGGCGUAAAGAGCUCGUAGGCGGCUUGUCACGUCGGAUGUGAAAGCCCGAGGCUUAACCUCGGGUCUGCAUUCGAUACGGGCUAGCUAGAGUGUGGUAGGGGAGAUCGGAAUUCCUGGUGUAGCGGUGAAAUGCGCAGAUAUCAGGAGGAACACCGGUGGCGAAGGCGGAUCUCUGGGCCAUUACUGAC